CGGCUGGGCAUGCGGCGCAUUAGCUUGACGGCGGGGUAACGGCCCACCGUGGCGACGAUGCGUAGGGGUUCUGAGAGGAAGGCCCCCCACACUGGAACUGAGACACGGUCCAGACUCCUACGGGAGGUAGCAGUGAGGAAUAUUGGUCAAUGGGCGGAAGCCUGAACCAGCCAAGUCGCGUGAGGGAAUAAGGCCCUACGGGUCGUAAACCUCUCUUGCCGGGGAGCAAGGGCCGGGACGAGUCCCGGCCCGGAGAGUACCCGGAGAAUAAGCAUCGGCUAACUCCGUGCCAGCAGCCGCGGUAAUACGGAGGAUGCGAGCGUUAUCCGGAUUUAUUGGGUUUAAAGGGUGCGUAGGCGGGCUUUUAAGUCAGCGGUAAAAAUUCGGGGCUCAACCC
rnacentral:rRNA from 1 species